UUUGAAUGAAGUUUGUGAUAUUCAAACCAGCGCUUUAUAAAUCAGAUUUUCAAUUUUUCCGCUGCGUAUUUUCGAAAAAGAUUUUAUAAAGGCAGAGUUAAUUAAAUAACGGGUUUGGGUGUUACAAUAUUAACUAAAAAAGCAUGGAAAAAUUAUAAAGGACCAGGUAACUUUUUUAAUACACUAUGGGCGAGUUCAGUAGACCCGUUGGAUACUGAUACUGAAUGGUAGUUGAUUCUCAUACUUGUGCCUAUAGUCACAACCAACUGUUUGCUUUUUGAACAACUGUUUUACAAUAAUGGGCAUGAGAAACAGCUAAGCUGUCUAAAAGAAUGUUAUAUUUUCUUAUGCUUUUAUCAACUGUACUAUUUUCUGGAG
rnacentral:lncRNA from 1 species